rnacentral:lncRNA from 1 species
CUGGAUGCCAAUCACGAUCUCCCAUGGCCUGUGGCUUGCAGUGCUCCUCAAUCUAUCUGAAGACACAGGCUGACAGCUCCUAGAAGUUGGUCACAGAGAUGAAGACAUUGAAGGACUGGAACAGGGAGUUCGUGAUACCUCGAAACACACUGACCUUGACUUGGUCAGAGGCCUGGUCCUCCCCUCAUGGGGGUUGUCCUGGUGUGCCUUCACAAUCUGCUUAUAGUUCCCUUUCAUGAUCUUUAGGGCUGUGAGGUCCUUGCAUAGUGUGGACACCUCCUCCUCCUGCAUUUUCUUCUCCUUGUGCAAAAACUGAGUGUAGUCAAUGGUCUUUUGUAGAACGAUGGCUUUGCUGAGCUUUCGGGAGCCAAUGCAGGAGUCCUGCUGCUGGCAUGUGGGGAUGAUGGUCUGAAGGUCAUCACAGCCUCUCUUGAUGACAUCCUUCCUCUUCUGCUCAGCCUCAGUGUGUGCUCACCACUACUGGUCCUUGUAGGACUCUUGGUGGUAAUCACUGUCCUCCUCAUCUGUGUUGGGGAUGGAAGAGGCACUGGUGGAACCGAUGCUAUUAGCUCUAGACACUACUGUCCCAUUGUGGGUGCUUUCUAUAAAAUACGUGAGGUCUGAGCUUUUGUAGCUGUAGAUGUACUCCACCUUUACCCAGGGGUCUUUGGGAGAGGCACCUGGCUCCAUCGUCUUGGACCUACUGGACCAGAAACAAGCCCUAUUUUAUUUUCUACCUGCCGAAAAGAACUAUACAUUUUGCUAACACCUCCAGGUGAUGAUGGUUGAUCAAAUAUUGUAAAUAAACAUAAAUAUAUUCA